rnacentral:rRNA from 1 species
AUUGAACGCUGGCGGCAGGCCUAACACAUGCAAGUCGAGCGGAUGAAGGGAGCUUGCUCCUGGAUUCAGCGGCGGACGGGUGAGUAAUGCCUAGGAAUCUGCCUGGUAGUGGGGGAUAACGUCCGGAAACGGGCGCUAAUACCGCAUACGUCCUGAGGGAGAAAGUGGGGGAUCUUCGGACCUCACGCUAUCAGAUGAGCCUAGGUCGGAUUAGCUAGUUGGUGGGGUAAAGGCCUACCAAGGCGACGAUCCGUAACUGGUCUGAGAGGAUGAUCAGUCACACUGGAACUGGGACGCGGUCCAGACUCCUACGGGAGGCAGCAGUGGGGAAUAUUGGACAAUGGGCGAUAGCCUGAUCCAGCCAUGCCGCGUGUGUGAAGAAGGUCUUCGGAUUGUAAAGCACUUUAAGUUGGGAGGAAGGGCAGUAAGUUAAUACCUUGCUGUUUUGACGUUACCAACAGAAUAAGCACCGGCUAACUUCGUG